GAUUCUCUCUGAAGUAUGAACACCAUGCUUACCAUUCAUACUAGUCUAGAGUCUAGAAUAGAAUAGAAUCCAUUUUGGUAAUCCCCAAAUUACAAUAACCAGAGAGGAUUUAUCCGGAGCCAAUGGAUGGAGAAGCCAACAGACAAUAGGAGGAUUAAGGAAGGUGUCGUAGCCGGAGCUGUUGGUGAGGCCGUUGAAAGUGAUGAGGUUACUGGACUCUACCAUCUCUGAAACACACACAGAGGACAGAGCAUGGCCAACGUGUGGGUGUGAACAGAAAGGUUUCAGUCGACAGGCAUCAAGAGAGCCAUCCAACACCUGUGGACCCCUCUACCUCUGAGACGCACACAUGUACACACACUCAUACGUAUGAGCAUACACAAGAGCACACACACACACACACACACUGCGCACAAACACGCACACACACUGCUCACAAACACACUGCGCACAAACACACACACACUCACACACACUGAGCACAAACAUGCACACACAGACACACACACACACACACACACACACUCAUCAUCACAUUCAGCCAGGUGUGUAAUUAUCUGUGUCUGUGUCAGAUCUGACACAUCCCAUCCCGUCUGAAUGCACACAUGCCACUUUCAGUCUGAAGAGGAAAUCAGCAGAGAGAUGGUGUUGAGUCGUCACACACACCAAGCUGCAGCAAGAACGUUAAAGACAGACAGAGCGACAGACAGGCAGCUACUGAUGUGCUUUGACAGCAUCAUGGCGACCUGUCAGAAAAACGAGUGGGGGAGAUCAGAGAAGACCGGUAUUGUUGUUGUAGUCAACUGACAGAUGGCUCAAUCUUGGGAACCGUUUGAAUGAAGCAAAAUGCAUUUUCCCAUGAUGCCUCUGGGCUGUUCCUGGUGUAGAUUGUUACCUCGGGAGGAUGUGACGCGGUGGCGGCGCAGGUGGAGCUGAGUUUUACGGCGGUUUUUACAGCACACUACUUGACCCUUGACUGCACAGAGAAACAUCUUCAACAUAGUGCCCCCUAGAGACAGACCAGGGUCUUACAGUACAUACCACAAAUAAGUGCAUGUAUACUUAUACAUCCUGUAUAGCCAUAUAAUGGUAGCCCAGUGGUUAAGAG